GUGGAUAUAGUUUAAGUAAAACGCUAGAUCGUGAUCCUAGCAACAAGGGUUAGAAUCCCCUUAUCUACC
rnacentral:tRNA from 4 species